GGUCGCCAAUUGAUGUCUCUAUUUCGAGUUGUCUUCAACUAGAAACAUCCAGCAGAGGAUGGGCCUAAAGAUGUAGUGAGAGACCUAAUCCCCAAGCCCUAGAGAUGUGAGUGGGAACACUUGGAUGAACUUGCCCAGUCUAUGAAUAUGGUAAAGCAACUCUGUGCUCUGUUUUACUUAUAGUAAUUGGUUUCUUAGAACAUAGGCAUUUAUGGAGGCAAUGAUGUCACUUUGGGAACUGCCAUGAGAGAACAAGGACGUCCCUCCUCCUCUGCUUCUGCUCACAGUGACUCUGAUUGGGCAAAGCUCCCAUCGUGCCCUGACCCUGCCAUGAACACCAGGCUCCUCUGCUGGGCAGCCCUCUGUCUCCUGGGAGGAGAACUCACAGAAACUGGAGUUACCCAGUCCCCCAGAUAUAAGAUUACAGAGAAAAGGCAGGCUGUGGCUUUUGGGUGCAAUCCUGUAUCUGGCCAUGCUGGCCUUUACUGGUACCAGCAGAUCCUGGGACAGGGCCCAAAGCUUCUGAUUCAAUAUCAGAAUAAGGAUGUAGUAGACGACUCACAGUUGCCUAAGGAUCAAUUUUCUGCAGAGAGGCUCAAAGGAGUAGAAUCCACUCUCAAGAUCCAGCCUGCAGAGCUUGGGGACUCGGCCGUGUAUCUCUGUGCCAGCAGCUUAGCCACAGCGUUGCAGAGACACUUCCUCCUGUGCAGAAAACGGCAGGGCUCCUCUUCUCUAUCAGCUCACAGCAGCCUUUCCUUAUUCCUCAUCUUCCCGGGGAAGAAGUGA